UCCUGAUCCCUCCCAGAACAACCAGCCUGUCCGCGUUUCACCGGAAUUAUCAAGGCAGGAAGAAAAGGGUGGGAAAUUUUUCUUUAAGUUGGAGUCAGGAUCCCACAAGCCAGGCUAUUUCAGGGAGUGAGGGCUCGCACCGCACCGGUAGUGCCAAACCUUGAGAGACUGUGAGGCAAGGGAUCAGAGGUUCAAGCAAGCCUGGACUACAGAGUGAGAACUUGUUUCCCCAAACUUAAAACUUCCCAGAUGGCUUAGAGAAGCACCCAAGUUCGAUCCCGGCACCUGCGUAUAACGGCUUCCAUGAGAACCGACGCACAGAAAUUGUCCUCGACCUCCAUCCACAUACGUACCGUGGCACAAAUAUGCCCACACAUACAUCACACACAUACAAUAAGAAAUUAAUAAAAUUUUAACGUAAAGGAGAAAGUCCCAGUCGAUGAAAUGUAUGCAGGGCAAGCCUGAGGACCCAAACAAGUUCAGGUAGCACCCAUGUAAAACGCUGGACUGCGGGGCGGGUAUGUGUGGAUAGAGAUAGGUGGAUCCCCAGAGCUCACCAGCCCCUUAGCCUGACUAAAUCUGUGGGCUCCUAGUGCAGAAAGACUUGGGCGGGGGCGGGAAGCGGAACUCGAAGACUCUGGCAAAAGAUGCCGACCUCUGACCCCCAGGUGUACACUGGUGCAGUCUCACAUACCCCAAAAAACAACAAAAUGCCCCCCCAAACCCCACAUAUACAGAAACAAAAAUAUUAAUGAAAAUGAAUAAGACUAUUAAAAUAUGAUGCGCAUAUAGGAAAUUAUACAUAAGCAUUAAGCCAAGAGAAUCUACAUUAACUGCACUCUCCCUCGUAAUCACAUGACCAGUACCCAGAUAAGGAAAGGGAACGUUACUAGUACCAUUCCCCUUAUCUCCAAGUGUGGCUGUGCAUUUGACUCACUUCUGUGAAUGCUCUUGGGUGCUUAGCUCAGAGCGCCAAAGCAUUUUAGCUACCCAGGAAAGAUUCCCUGCAGGUUUCCUAACACUGGACAUUAGUUUUAAUUUAAAAAAUGCAUAUUAUUUAUCUUAUUUAUGUGGCUGCAUAUUUGCCUCUGUGUGUGUAUGUGUCCCAUGUGCAGAGGCCUGAAGAUGACUUUAGAUCCCCUGGAAGUGGAAUUACAGCCACCUGAUGUAGUUGCUGAGAACCAAAGUUGGUCCUCUGGAAAAGCAACAGGUGCUUUCCACUUUAACCCUUGAGCCAUCUCUCCAGCCCCUGUAUGGUAAUUUACAUCCCAGUGAGUAGCAAAGCUGCUGUUUACCUUUCUGGUGUUAUUAGGGUAACAGGAGGUAGGGUAAGCCAAUUCAUAAGGGAGGAGUCAGUCCUCAUGGCCCGAAACCCCUGGAACAUCCUCAAGAACUACAGAUUUAUCAUUUGACCAGUAGGUUCUUACCUCCUACAUCCCAUAGGGGGUGGAAGAGCCAUUUGAUGGAUUUUCUGGGUCCCUGGAUAAAGAUCUUUCCCAGUGGAGGUCUUUGUUUAGGAUGCUCGGGGCCAUUGGGCAUUAGGCUAGAAUUACUUGGGCGUGGGAGGGGUGCUCACACUGGAGGGAGGGAAAUGACCUCAGCUGGGUCCUGAGUCCUGAGCUCUCCCAUCCUGCCCUUUGUUCCCAUGCAACACCUUUAAGGAUGACUGCAGGCCUGAUGAUCAAGCACUGGGCUGAUAGAAACGGACAAGGUGCUAGAAGAGGGAGGAUGGACAGAAUGCCCAAGAGUUGAAGGCCAGCCUGGACUCCAUGAGACCCUGUCUGAAACAAGGGAACUCUGUUGGCCAUGACUAUGUAGCAGGUAUUGAGAAACUGAUCUUACACUGGCU